rnacentral:rRNA from 1 species
GUUCCUGGCUUAGGAUGAACGCUAGCGGCAGGCUUAACACAUGCAAGUCGAGGGGCAGCGCGGGAUAGCAAUAUCCUGGCGGCGACCGGCGGAAGGGUGCGUAACGCGUGAGCGACAUGCCCGUUGCCCGGGGACAACCGGUGGAAACGCCGACUAAUCCCCGAUGGGAUAUUGUGCCGCAUGGCACGAUAUUGAAAGUUACGGCGGCGACGGAUUGGCUCGCGUCCGAUUAGCUUGUUGGCGGGUAACGG